rnacentral:rRNA from 1 species
CCCUUGAGUCCAGGAUAACCUACCGAAAGGUGGGCUAAUACCGGAUAUGACCACGGGGACUACGGUCCCUGAGGUGAAAGGUGGCCUCUGUUUACAUGCCACCGCUCAUCGAUGGGCCUGCGCGCCAUUAGCUAGUUGGUGGGGUAAUGGCCCACCAAGGCGAUGAUGGCUAGCUGGUCUGAGAGGAUGGCCAGCCACACUGGGACUGAAACACGGCCCAG